rnacentral:rRNA from 1 species
AUUGAACGCUGGCGGAAUGCUUUACACAUGCAAGUCGAACGGCAGCACGGACUUCGGUCUGGUGGCGAGUGGCGAACGGGUGAGUAAUGUAUCGGAACGUGCCCAGUCGUGGGGGAUAACGUAGUGAAAAUUACGCUAAUACCGCAUACGAUCUAUGGAUGAAAGCGGGGGAUCGCAAGACCUCGCGCGAUUGGAGCGGCCGAUAUCAGAUUAGGUAGUUGGUGGGGUAAAGGCCCACCAAGCCAACGAUCUGUAGUUGGUCUGAGAGGACGACCAGCCACAAUGGAACUGGGACACGGGCCAGACUCCUACGGGAGGCAGCAGUGGGGAAUUUUGGACAAUGGGCGAAAGCCUGAUCCAGCCAUUCCGCGUGCAGGAUGAAGGCCCUCGGGUUGUAAACUGCUUUUGUACAGAACGAAAAGGUUUCUACUAAUACUAGGAGCUCAUGACGGUACUGUAAGAAUAAGCACCGGCUAACUACGUGCCAGCCGCCGCGGUAA